UGUAGGAUCAACUUCCUUCCCAAAGUAUAAUAUUCCAUUAACUAUUUUCUUUUAAAAAUUAUUUUAUUUACACUUAAGUUUUAUUGAUGUUUUUGUCCUUUACCUAACAGUUAUUUCCCAAUAUAGUCCUCACUCACCCAAUAAAUCUUACCUUGUAACAAAGGAAAAACAUUUAAAUAAAACCAAGAUGCAACCACCACUUCUGACAGAGUAUACAACAUUUUGCAUUAACAAUCUCCUACUUCUGCAACAAAGGAGGGAGGCACAUGCCCUCUUCCCAGGGCCAAAAUUGGUCCUUGAAAUGAGGAAACCUUUGACUUGCUUUUAAAGUUCUUUAUGUAUAUGGCAUUGUGAUCAUUGUGGAUAUUGUUUUCCUGGUUCUCCUAUGUUAAUCUAUGUGUCUUCCAUGUUUCUCUGAAUUCCACAUCUUUAUAUUUUUUUCACAGCAAACUAUUACAAUGCAUCAUGUACCACACACAAUUCAUCUCUCCAUUCCCCAUCUGAUGAGCCCCUGCUUUGUUUCCAAUUCUUUGCUGAUGGACAGAAAAAAGUGCCAUUAUGAAUAUCUUGGGGCUUAUCAAGAACCAGAGAAGCAACAUCUGAGCAAGUCAGAGGCUGAAAACAGCAGACAAACUGUGUAACUGAGAGAUUCCUGAAACUGGAGAUUUGUAAGGUUGGAAGAAUCUUGAUAUUUGCAUAUGCAAUUUGGAGAUUCCCAGAAUGUCCAAUUCAAAUGCAAAACUCACGUUCAUGAAUAAGUCAUGAGCAGUGACUUGGCUCCUUCUCUCCCCCCCAAUUAUCAUUUCUCCCCCUCCUUGAGUAAUCACCAGUCAGCCAGGCUCAUCAUUUGUUUCUGACAGAGGCAGGUAAAGGUGAGUUCCUCCAGAGUUGAACGUGCUAGUUUUCUUAGCUAAGCAUACUCUGUACUCACAUUCCAGCUGGAAAGAGGGAGUGAGCUCUACAGAUCCGGAGUGCUGGGGCUUGAUCCGAAUUUUCCAGGAUGAAAACGAAAUGCCAGCAGCCUUUUCUCCUGUCAGGAGAGGCUCUCAGGGCAAUGAUAGCUAAUCCACCCCCCACUGUGUGCCCCACUCCGGCCAGGACUUUAGGUUCCCCAGGGCUUUGUAUCUCCUGCUGAUGGCGGAGGCUGAGGCUGUUAGUGUUAGGGGAGAAAUCUCUCCCCUGAGUGCAUGUGGUGGCUAACUGCUGCCAAAAUAUAUUUACUACAACUCAGAAAUGAGAGGUAGAAAUCUAGGUUUUACUAUGAUGUUCAAGCAUAGGUUCAGGCCUUAGAGAAAACCUUUAGUCUAUUAGGAUUCUCACAAGUUCUCUUACAGGCAAAAUUACACCAGGGUGACACUUCAUUCUUCUCUCCCUUCCUCCCUUCCUUCCUUCUCUCUCUUUCCUUUUCUUUCUUUCCUUCCUUCCUUCCUUCCUUCCUUCCUUCCUUCCUUCCUUCCUUCCUUCCUUCCUUCCUUCCUUCCUUCCUUCCUUCCUUCCUUCCUUCUCUCUUCACUCUUCCCUCCUUAAUGCCUUGAUUUAAUAAACAUUUAUUGAGCAUUUUACA
rnacentral:lncRNA from 1 species